rnacentral:tRNA from 1 species
GCGGCGCUGGCCGACGCCGAGGUCGCCGUGCUCGUCGUCGACGCGCAGGCCGGGGUGCGCCCCGGCGACGAGGAGAUCGCCGACCUCCUGCGCCGCG